GCUCGUUCAUUUCAUGAUCAUUAAAAUCGGAAAAAAUGCCAGUUCGGAUCGACCAUCCUUCACGACGUUUGGCUCUGAAAUUACGUACCAAUUCAUCAUUUCCGACAUCUCCUACCCCGUUGAUAUGCAAAGCCAAAGGGUCUAAGACCCAUCACGCAAGUACUAGAUUAGGGAAAGAAGAAGUACAAGAUUAAAUAACACAGCAAAUCAGAAUACUGAAACAUUUCCUGAAAAUCAGGCUGAACAAUA